UUUAUGGAGAGUUUGAUCCUGGCUCAGGAUGAACGCUGGCGGCGUGCCUAAUACAUGCAAGUCGAGCGAACAGACAAGGAGCUUGCUCCUUUGACGUUAGCGGCGGACGGGUGAGUAACACGUGGGUAACCUACCUAUAAGACUGGGAUAACUUCGGGAAACCGGAGCUAAUACCGGAUAAUAUUUCGAACCGCAUGGUUCGAUAGUGAAAGAUGGUUUUGCUAUCACUUAUAGAUGGACCCGCGCCGUAUUAGCUAGUUGGUAAGGUAACGGCUUACCAAGGCGACGAUACGUAGCCGACCUGAGAGGGUGAUCGGCCACACUGGAACUGAGACACGGUCCAGACUCCUACGGGAGGCAGCAGUAGGGAAUCUUCCGCAAUGGGCGAAAGCCUGACGGAGCAACGCCGCGUGAGUGAUGAAGGUCUUCGGAUCGUAAAACUCUGUUAUUAGGGAAGAACAUACGUGUAAGUAACUAUGCACGUCUUGACGGUACCUAAUCAGAAAGCCACGGCUAACUACGUGCCAGCAGCCGCGGUAAUACGUAGGUGGCAAGCGUUAUCCGGAAUUAUUGGGCGUAAAGCGCGCGUAGGCGGUUUUUUAAGUCUGAUGUGAAAGCCCACGGCUCAACCGUGGA
rnacentral:rRNA from 1 species